rnacentral:tRNA from 1 species
GCGCCUGUAGCUCAGUGGAUAGAGCAGGACUCUUCUAAGGUCAAGGUCGGGGGUUCGACUCCCUCCAGGCGCACCA